CCUACGGGAGACUGCAGUGAGGAAUAUUGGUCAAUGGGCGCGAGUCUGAACCAGCCAAGUAGCGUGAAGGAUGACUGUCCUACGGGUUGUAAACUUCUUUUAUAAAGGAAUAAAGUGAGGCACGUGUGCCUUUUUGUAUGUACUUUAUGAUUAAGGAUCGGCUAACUCCGUGCCAGCAGCCGCGGUAAUACGGAGGAUCCGAGCGUUAUCCGGAUUUAUUGGGUUUAAAGGGAGCGUAGAUGGGUUGUUAAGUCAGUUGUGAAAGUUUGCGGCUUAACCGUAAAAUUGCAAUUGAUACUGGUAGUCUUGAGUACAGGUGAGGUAGGCGGAAUUCGUGGUGUAGCGGUGAAAUGCUUAGAUAUCACGAAGAACUCCGAUUGCGAAGGCAGCUUACUAAACUGCCACUGACAUUGAUGCUCGAAAGUGUGGGUAUCAAACAGGAUUAGAUACCCUUGUAGUC
rnacentral:rRNA from 1 species